UUCUACACAAACAUUUUUACACUUUACACAAUGACGAAAAAUUUUUUACUGUGUACUGAUGAUACAAACUUAGAUAUGUCUGUACAGCUCAGAUAGAUUACAACAGAGCUCACAAAUAUUCAUCCUACAAAUCCUAUAAACAACAAAAUUUAUCAAUUAGAAUUUAUGAAAGAAAAUUUGAAUCCUACGCCUGCAAUGAUUGACGAACAUCGUUUUAUUCAUAAGUUUUCAUCAAUAACUGUUGAUAACGAUAAAUCUCCCGAAACACCUCU